rnacentral:sRNA from 1 species
UCAUCCUUAAAUCUCGUAACCAUGCCAACACA